rnacentral:rRNA from 1 species
CCUACGGGAGGCAGCAGUGGGGAAUAUUGGGCAAUGGGCGCAAGCCUGACCCAGCAACGCCGCGUGAAGGAAGAAGGCUUUCGGGUUGUAAACUUCUUUUAAGAGGGAAGAGCAGAAGACGGUACCUCUUGAAUAAGCCACGGCUAACUACGUGCCAGCAGCCGCGGUAAUACGUAGGUGGCAAGCGUUGUCCGGAUUCACUGGGUGUAAAGGGCGUGUAGCGGGGCUGACAAGUCAGAUGUGAAAGCCGGGGUCUCAACCCCCGAACUGCUUUUGAAACUGUUGGUCUUGAGUAUCGGAGAGGCAGGCGGAAUUCCUAGUGUAGCGGUGAAAUGCGUAGAUAUUAGGAGGAACACCAGUGGCGAAGGCGGCCUGCUGGACGACAACUGACGGUGAGGCGCGAAAGCGUGGGGAGCAAACAGGAUUAGAUACCCCGGUAGUC